ACACUCCAAAAUUCUUAAUUAUACGUUCUCGUGACACGUUUAUGAUUAUUUUUAGAAUCAUAAAUCAACGGCACGAGUAAUCGAGUUUAUAUAAUAAAGGCAAGCAUUAUUACCAGGCAAUCUAUUGUUAGAAGUAGAAGGAACUUGCCUGUUUCAUCCGAGUUAAUUUCAUCAGGUUAAAAACUUUAAGGUGUUUGUAACCGGAGAAGUGUUUUUGAAACAUUGCAAAGUUUAUCUGGGAAAGUGAAAAAGAAGACUGAGUUACCUCAGAACGAAGUAACACGUUCUACUGUAUAAACAAUGAAUAAGAGUGUUCAAAGCUAAUAGAGAUUUUUACUAUUCAGAUAAACUCAGGAAGUUCAAAAAGUAUGAAAAAACCAACAUUUUGUAUCAAUUGUUAUCUACAGCCUUUCACUUACAUAUUGAAGGGGUUUGGUAUAAGCAUUUUUCCUACAUGCCAAGAAAUAGAAGGUGACACUAGCAAUUUCGAUCGGUUAUACUAUGCCUUCUAUGUCGUAAUUUGAGUUUUACUUUACUUUUGGGGAAUUUAUAUUUCUGUGGUUGACGAGCAAACAAGUAUUCAAUAUUGUGGGGGUAUCCUCUAUAAAAUUAAAGAUAAUUACGCUACAAUCAUUUUCACCAAAUGUUUGGUCAUAGGGAUAUUUUCGUCGGGACUGAUUUGCUUAGUUAAAAUUUAUUUUCAAAACAAUGGAAAGUUUCAGACAUUCGAAUAUAAUUAUAAAGGCGAGAUAGAAAAGUUGUUGACGGUCAGGGAAUGGGUUCGAAGAUUCGUAUUAUUUCUGUUUGUUUCUGGAUGCGUAAUAAUAUCAUUUGGGAUUGAUGUUGUAAUUCGAUACAUUUCCAUUCCCGAAAAUCAAUUAGUAAUUUGCUCACUCUGUUAUCUUUUGUUUUAUAUUUGGUGUUUUGGUGUUUUAUUACAUUUUGUUUUCGUCGUAUUUCUCGUACUGUACUUCAUAAAAGUAAAAUUUGAAAAUAUCUGUCAGGCUUUAUCAGAGUGUAGAAGAUGUCCAGAAAAAAUUAAAAUUGCUUUAAAAAUCGAAGAAAGAAAAUUUGUUGAAUUGUGCGAAAUUACCGAAGAAGUAGACAAUAAAUUUUCUUACUUAAUUUCGAUUGUAUACUUCUGUACCAUUAACUCGAUAGCUUUUAGUCUCUAUUACGUCCUUUUCGCACCUUCCCUUUAUAAAAUUUUUAUCGGACUUUUUUGGCUCUUGUAAUCACAUUAUUACUUGUUGUUUUUGGGUUUGCUGUUGCUGAUAUUCCAGUGAAGGCUUCAUCUCCUAUCGAACACCUACGUAUUUUAAGUGUUUGCCAAUUGGAUGUUAUUGAUAAAUGGAAGGCGGUAACAUUCAUGAAGUGCAUCCGUGAAGAGCGCAUCGGAUUUCAUUACUUUGGAACAAUUGUUUAUACUAAACACUCCGUCAUUCAGGCAGUAAGUUCAAUAGGGAGUGUAUUGUCCACUCUCAUGCAAUUCAGAGAUCUGAUGUCGGAUGAAUAUCUUUCUUCGAUCUGUGAUAAAACGCUAUUCGAAAAUUUAUAUAAUUAAAGUACAGUAGAGUAUCCACAGUCCAUCACUUGCCGGUAUGGUAGGUCACGUAAUCCGACACUCAGCAUUACAGCGCACGUGUUACUACUUGUAAAUGUAUGUGACAGAGAGAGACUGAUGUACAGUAUAGUACAUAUGUAAAUAAAAUAGAGUGGCACGAAUUGUUGUAACGUCACACACAAGGCGUUUAAAGCGACAGAGGAGCAACAAGAAAAUCGAGAUAAAGCAAUUGGAUUAUUGGUCCUAUGAAGUGUUUUUUCUAAGUGAUUUUAGGUAUUGUUUGUAGUUAGACUUAGUUUUAAGUUACUAAAUUGUCGGGAGACUUGUAUACUUUGUGUUGGUUUUGACUCGUUAUUAA
rnacentral:lncRNA from 1 species